UGUUAAACUCACAAAAGUAUCAAUAAAAGUUUUUAAAAAUGACUUGAUACAUUGCCGUCUGGAUGGAUUUACAGCCAAUUGGUUGCUGGGUCUUGAAUGAGUCAAAAAAGAAGAAAAUACUCAGAAACAAGGCUUGACUUUACCAUUGGGGCCUGUUUUAUUAGUAACCUACGCUGUUGUUGGUAACUCACUAAUUGAAGUGAGCUUUGUUGUCUUAAGGAUGAAAGUGUCUCGUGAAACAGAAAAGAAGCUGGCCUCUCAGUGACACCUGCUAGACUUCGACCCACAGUAACCUGGCAAUAGCCAGGUAUGCCUGACUUGCUAUAAAAGGGGCUGCUUGCCCCCUCCUCACUCUCUUGCUCUUCCUUUCUUAGCUCCUUCUCUCUCUGUCCCUUGUUUUCUCAUUUCCCUCCCCAUUCUUUCUCUGAUUAUGACCGGUCUCUACCUCUACCCCCCUCUCCCUUUCUCUGUCUCUACUACCUCUUCAACUCCCCUCCCCGUGCCCUAAAUAAACUCCAUGCCAUACUAUGCCCAUCAGAGGGGAAGGGAUGCUUCAGCAUGGGUCUCUAGAGGCCCCCCUUACCCCGUAUCAUACCAUGCUUCCACUUUGACUAAACAUGUUCCUGGGUUCCUUUUCUUUUUUUAUAAAACACAACAGAAAGGUUGUGUCAGGAGCCUUGGCAUGACCCCUCCCUCUGAGUAUUGCUUAUGUCUCCUCCCACCCCUGCCCCCUAGUAGACCCUGCAGCCUUAGGUAGAUGAUCCAUUUAUUUAAACCAACUGAACACAUAGCACACCCCCUUCAAGGACUAAACUUCACUUUACUUUCAUCUCAAGCAGCAUCCCAUACUAAUUAGAUAUUUUGCAAUCUCAAUUUAAAAUUUCUAAGGAGAAUCUGGUUGCUCUGAUUGGCUGGUAUGGUCAGGUGUUCAUUUCAUGCCACACUCACCCAUAGCCAUGGUGAUGAGUUCUUGUGUUCUCAAAAGUGCUUUUGAGCAGGAGCUAUGAAUUAUACACCUCUAAGAGGUGCUACUCAUACUGUAUUGUGGGUGCCCAAUGUCUCAUAGAACCCCACAAUGACUGUGUGAGGUUGUUCUCAGAUAAGUAAAUGACAGUCAGCUGAAGUCAAAGGAUGCUGACUGUAUAUAGCCAAUUGGUUGCUGGGAAACAAACCCUCUUGAGUGGACCUUAGAAGUCCAACUGGGCCCAGAAAUUCUAAAGCUUAUCUCCUCCCCAUUUUGGUCAUCUUAUGUAGCUUCUGGCCUGAACCUCACCACAUAGACCAAGGUAGCCCAUAUCUCACACUUUACAGUUCUGUGUCUUGUCUGUAAUGGACACCUUCAGAGAGAAGAACUGGUAAAUUUGUGUUCGCCUUCCUGCAGCCUCCAAAGAUUUCACAAUGGUUUCUAAUGCCUCUGAGACAUCAUCUCUGGCUUUCAAUGCCUCUGAGACCUCAUCUCUCCUCUCUUCAUUAAGAGGCAAAGUUUUCAAGUGAGUACCCCCUAGAUGGCAACCUGAUGGAAUGCCAGGAUUCUCUUGGCUCUAUCUCUACAAGUGGACCCCAAACUUAAGUUCCAUAUGGGGAGAAAAUGGUUUUCACAGCAACCAUGAACCACACAUUUCUUCUCCAAAGUACACAGGUCCACUGGACUUGACCCAGUCUGACACAUUCUAAAUUUAUUUUCUUAGAUUAGGAACUUCAUGCGGAUUUAAGAACACUAGAUGUGGAGCUCAUUUGAGCCUUGAUGUGGACUUAUUUAACUUGGCCAUUCUGGGAGCCAAGUCUUUACUCAAGUGGCUACAGUUAAGAUAUCGAAUCUUUGCAAAGCUGAGCUGAGCAGCGUUUGUUUGGUGCUUGGCAUCUGGUACAUGUCAAAUGGCCCAGAUCGGAUAUUUCCUUUCCUUCUGAGAACACAUCUCUUAAGAAGAUUUGGUCCAGUCUUGCCAAUGAAGGAAGCAAGAAACUCAAGCCAGCCUGGAGUUUUGUAAGCUGUGGAAAACUGGCUAAAUUCACCAUGAAAAUAAUUUGGAAUGAUGAAGGACUGGCCUCCAGUGUCAGAAACAACAUGCUCAUGUAUAGCUGCUGAGCUAUGACAAGAAUAUUUAGAUGUUAUUAAUGCCUCUGACUCUAGUCUAGAAUUGUGAUCACAUCAUUAGAGACACCACCAAGUUUAUUAGAGAUUUACCCUUGAUAAGUGCUAUUUGCUGUAGAAUUAUUAAUUCAAACAAAUGGUAAAUAUUCGACUUACCUAGGAGAAAAACCUCUUCCAUGAUUAACAGUUUAAUUCGCACAGGAUGAGCAUGCAUUUAAAAUAACCCUAUAGAUCAGACAAGCUAAAUCUAAAGAGUAAAACAUCACAUGCAAUAAAAACACUCUACUGUGUGGAGUUUUAUUACUCAAAUACUUGUACCCCUUAGUCUUAAUUCAUGAGGCUUACCUGUACAUAAAACAAGGGGAAAGUCAUUCACAUUUUCUUAGACCAGUUGGCUAUAAUACUUGCAGGCUUCCGAGGUUUCCAGAUGUGUACAAGUAACACACCUUUGCCAAGCUUAGAGCUGUCAGUUCAGAGUUAGCCUCAACUGUGGCUUGUAGUUUCCUUCUGACAUGUUUACAUUCGUCCAUCUUUGUAAAGAUUCUCUCCUUUUUCUGAUAGAAACAAAGCUCCUGAGUGGCUGGGGUUGUCCACAGAAGGCUUUCUCUGCACAGCUAGGAACUGGUGUUUUAGUUAAUGGUUUGCGGGGUUUCCUUCCUUCUGUUUCUCCUUUUCUUUCACCAGAAAUUUAAUGAUUAACCAAUUAAAAGUCAACAAGACCAUUCACCUAAGCUUCAAACUGUGAGAGAGGAGGAUGGUGACUGGCAAAGGAGUGGAAUUUUGGAGUUCCCUGAUCUUAGCAUAGGCCUCCUAUAGGAGAGCCUGUCUGAGAUCCACUUAAGGGCUGGAUCGUAGAGGAGACACUGUGAGCCCUGAUGUGACUCAGUAUUGAGUAUCUCUGAAAGUCCAUGUAUAACACUGUAGUGUUGAUGAGGGGAGACAGGAAGCAGGGUACUAGUUACUUUUUUGUUGUUGUGACAACCUACAAGGAGCCACUUAAAGGAGAAGCUUAUUUUGGCUGGUGGUUCGAGGGGUUACAGUCAUCAUGCCAAGGAAGGUGAGCAGCUCCAUGACAUGGUGGUGGGCAGCUACAGGCAGUAGGGCCUUCUGGCAGCCCAGCUCUCACAAUUCUGUAAGUUAGGAAGUAAAGAGCAGACAGGAAGUGGUUGAGGUUAGAAAUCUCAGGGCCUACUUGUCUGUCAACCUUGUUCACCUCCUGAAGUUUCUAAAGCCUUCCCUAAACAGAGUUGGUAACUGGAGGGCAAGUGUUCAAACCCAUGAGACUAGGUGGAGCAUGUCAGAGUCAGACCAUAGUACAGGGAGACCCACGUGAAGCUUGUGCUCAUGAGAGUAAUGUCAAGGCCUGAGGCAAAUCUCUCACUGUGGUACUUACAAGGUCUAGUGAUUGAAUAUAGUUGGGGAGGGGCACUGAGGAUGAUCUAUGCUGAAAUUGUUUCUCAAGAAGCACACAAAAAGCAUAAAUUACCAUUCUUUUAAAAAAUCUAAAAUAUUUCAAAUUCAGUUCAUGAAUUUAAGUUCAAAUUCAGUGAUGAAGACAUGUUGGCAGUUUGAGCUUUGGAGCCUCUAAAAUAAACUUCUCUGACAGAAAAUUAUGCUAAAUUUUCACCGAUGAGUCCUGGAACUCACAUCCAAAAGGAAGGGGAAACCAUGUUAUUUCAAGAAAUAAAACUGUGACCGCAGUGUCCCCUGGUUCUCCUGAAGCACACUUCUCUUGAGUUGGAUAAGAAAAACAUCGAGCACGAAGCAGAUUUGUGUUUUCCCUAGAGGAAGCAAAGUUGAAGCUAUCCAGAGAACAUUCUGAUACUGAAAAAUUAACUACAUUCUGGGAUGCCUCUGCAAGCUGGAAUGCCAGUGCUGGAAUAUCAGAGGGUGCUGUUUUGGUCUGUUAUGAAGAGCUAUGGAAUGUAGAUCUUAAACCAUUUUAUCACACUCACCAGGAACACAAAACAAAUCUUAUUUCAGAAAGAGAAACGUUAAUAUGAAAUACCAAAAAUGAAAGAAAGAUUAUGUGGAUGCCUUUAAUGAAUUUAAUGAGUGUUCUCUCUCUCCCUCACUCCCUCUCUCACCCUCUCCCACCCCUGUCCCCUCUCAAUACAGCAUUCCAUGUUUUUAAAGUUUGACAGAGUCCAGGUGUAGAGAGACUGAAGAAUUUCAGUGCUUAUCUCUUCAAACCUGGUGGGAAGAGAACAGAAUACUCCAUUCUGGGUAAUCCCACACAACCUUUCUUAAAGCAAACCGAGAACCUAGUUUACCCACAAGAAAUCGCCUGGAGACCUGCAAGACUUUGAGAUAUAAGAUGUCAGACAGUAAACCCUGAGAGACGAGCCUUCGGUAUCCCAGAAAGACGGAGGGAGAGCUUCCAGGAUGCAUUGGAGAAAAGCCUUGUGAUGUGCUAUGUGUAGUACGUACGGUUCCUGAAAGUCUCAGUAGACUGACAUUUUCACCAUGAUUAGUGGACCUAUGCUUUGACAGCUCUAGCCUUACUCCGGGUCUUCUCUUCCUCUUGGGUAGCUGAGCCAAGUGGCUGGCUUGACAGUCAUCUGAAUCACUGGCUGACUGAGGACAACAGUGUCCAUGUGUAAAUGUACUUCAUUCUUCCACAAUUUUUCACCUGAAAGGUGAACUAUGUCUGUAGGGACAGCAAGCACACGUCCCUUCAGGGCCCCAGCUGAGACACCUGUUGCUGUGACUCCAUUGUCAGUGUGUUUACUAUGAAAAGUCAUCAGUUGCCAAAGGCCCCGCCAAAGUGAACAUUCUUUGAUGGCAGUAUGUAUCCACUCAAGUGCCAAGGAAGGGACCGGUCCUGUGAGUCACUUGAAUGCUCUCUUCUACGGCUACAAUUUUGGUUUGUUACCAGCACUCUGCUCUGGUAAUUUUCUUUAACCUAUUUUUGCCUAUAUCUUAAUAUUCCUUUUGGUUAUCUCUAAUUGUGUUUUCUGGUGUGUUGUAAUAAACUGCUUCAUCCUGAAA